UGAGCAUCUGUCACUGUCAGUUUGUCAGGUGUUACCGUGUUACCUGUUUCGUCCUUGUUAUCCAAAGUGUGAACAUCGAGAAUGAGUUACUUAUUCCGUUUAAUUACUUCUUUAUACGAUCACGCAGUCGAGAAAAGAUGAGGGUGAAAUGUAUUAACUAUUUGGUCGCCAUGGUAAAUCAUAUUCAGGAGCAGUAGUAAUAUACCUAAUUUACAACCAAACAAAACUCCAGACAAUGCAAAGGUGCACUUCCUUCUCUGACGGUAAAUUGAGGGGCCCACAUUACUCUCCAGGAACAAGCUGAAGUUUUGCAUAACUAUACAAUGAAACCUCGCCUUCAGUCACCUUCAGCGAGGCUGUUUCACCUGUGUGUCAGCCAUCUCAGUGUACCUCAUUUAUUUUUUACAAGACAUUUCCUCUUUUAAACAGUUAAGACACUAAUUAGUGAUUUCUAAAUGUAAAAACUAUGGAUUUAUUAAUUAUAAAUAUAUAGAUUGCUUAUAAUGUUUGGUUAAACUUUUUGUUUUUAUGUAUGUGGUGUCAGAUAAAGCUGACACCAGUGUCUGAGGAGGAAUUACUCUUCAGUUUUUAAUCACUUUCAGUCAGAGGGCAGUUUCUAUUACUUAAACAGUCAUGUCCCUGGAUUCGCAGGGGAUAGGGACCACAGCUCCUUCCCCCCCCCCCCCCCCCCCCCCCCCC